rnacentral:rRNA from 1 species
GGGAGCCGCGGANUUAUCGGGCGUCGGCUCUCUCUUUUCCCUUAGGUACCGCCGUGUGCUGCUUGGGCUCGCCCGGCGCAAGUAGACCUCGGACGCGUGUCAGAACACUAUCUCGUGUCUUAAACACACGCUUAAUCUAAAACCUUGACAACUGGUUUCUUGGUUUCUGGCAUCAUUUACAACACCGCAACUCUUGGC